CUCUCUCUCAGCUCUCUCUCGCUCUCUUUCCAGCUGGGCAGCGGGCUACAUUGUAACACACACACACACACACACACACACACACACACACACACUCACACGCUCGCUCUGCCUCUCUGACACAGACUCUCUACUUAGUGCGUUGGAGAGAGGACUGAGGCUCACACUAUCAGCACAGCUUCUCAAUGGGGGGACGCAGCCAAGAGCAGACAGAGCAGUCAUCACACUGGAGCCUUCCGCUGCACUCGUGAGAAGGAGACAGCAAGUGAGGAGGGGUAAAUUAGCUCCCUGUCAUCACAACAUAGGAGUUCGACUGACGGAGAAGAGUCACAGACUGAAGGAAGGAGAAGAUAAGAGAUCUGCACGGUUGUGGCUGAUAAAGUAGUGACAUGCUCAGCCUCCCAUCACCUCAAAUCCUGGCCAGUUUGUGACACAGACCCCUGGGUGUUUUGCUUUUGCUGACUGUGUUGCCAAGGAUUUAAAAAGGAACUGAGCACCGGGGGUCCAGAGGAGUGAAUACUGAGGGGUGGGUGGGGGGGGGAAACAGCAUUUUAGCCCCUUUUGUGCGCUGUUCGGCUUCUCUGUUACUGGAAUUUCGGGCUGGAAUCCCUGGCUUCAAAGUAUGGAUGGAUUUAAGACAGAGGAGUGAGUCUGCUGGGCAGACAGGCAGGCAGGCAGUGAUUCUGACUGAGCUCCUUUCCUCCUGAACACACUGCUCAGACUCGGCCUUACCAUGUCCUGGUUGUUGGCCAUGUGGAUUAGCCUCGGCUUCCUGCUGUUGUGCCAGGCCACACUCUACCAGACCAUCCAGCAGCACCAUGUGGCCCGGCCUGGUCGCACCGACAUUCUCACCCUGGAGGGAGGUACGUGUGAGGUGAUUGCCGCCCACCGAUGCUGUAACAAGAAUCGUAUUGAGGAGCGUUCUCAGACAGUCAAGUGCUCCUGUUUACCGGGGAAAGUGGCCGGGACAACACGCAACAAACCCUCCUGUGUGGAUGCGUCCAUUGUAAUUGGAAAAUGGUGGUGUGAGAUGGAACCAUGUCUGGAGGGAGAAGAGUGUAAGACUCUGCCUGACAACUCUGGAUGGAUGUGCUCCUCUGGGAACAAAAUCAAGACCACAAGAGUGAGACCUCACACACACUUAAGCACAAAUGCAUCUAGCUGCAUGCACAGACCUACGCACAAAAUGCACAGAUGCACAAGUACAUGUACAAUACAUGCAUAUACCUGAGGGGUGUGCACUACAAAGCAAGUUUGACAGAGCCAGGCUUUCUUUGACUUACAGUAGCUGGCUUGACAAAGCCUAAAACCCCAGUCUGAGAAAACGGGUACAAUGAAGGUGGUUAUUAACGGUCUUUGUAAAGCCAGGCUUUCUUCCUCAGGCUCUAUACGCGUUCCCAUAAAGGGGUGUUUGGCGCGCUUACUUCCACCAGGAAUAUGAAAACAUUAUUACAGCAAAAAGCAACACUGUUGCUGCAAAUAACACAAGAGAGGAAAGCUGGCAGAAAAUAACUGAUUGUGUAAAUUCGUAAGUCAAUGUAUUUAUUUUUUGACACACUCUCAAUACCUACCGUUUAUUUCUAACAUGACAACUGCUCAUUCCACAGCUCUUACACUUUAAACUUGAUAGAAAGAUUUAAACGUUAAUCUCAAGAACUGCAUUUACUGUAGGUCUGAGACUGUCCCAUAAUGCAGGAUAUGUAGAAAUCACUUUAGUUUUUGGCCAAAUUAAUUUUAUUGAUUGAUUAUUAACUGUGAAAAAUAACAACAGAUAAUCAAAUUUCUAAUCUGUUUUCUAUUAGUUGCAAUAUACGAGUAGUGUUAAACAGACUUUAGAAAAUAAGGACUAAGCAUAAAAACAUAAUCCAACAUUAUGGUUUGAUUUGAAGGAAUUAUACCGCAUGUCAUAUGCAAGUAAACGUCAUACUGAUUGUUAAUAUAGAUAUUUAUGUAUGCUACCUGCAAUGUUAUAACGGCUUAUUUUAGAACCAUGUGGGCAAAUAACCAAGGAGCACUACAAACAUAUUUAGUAGUUCAGUGAGAGCCACAACAGCCUUGCAAAUAAAAUAAAACUGUAUUCUUGCUCAGAUUUUGUGCAUCACCAAUUGAAUGCAUGCAAAUUCCUGUGGCAAAAAACAACAUCAACCCAAUGCAUACAGUUUGUGCUAUUGUAAUUGCAUGGCUUUGUUCGGUGGCAUUUAUAAUGUAAUGUUAUGGCAAGUUUGCCAGCUGGGUAUCUGUAUAGCUCAUAGAUUGACUUGUGACUAUAGAGUAGGGAUAUUCCGAUUAAUGGGUUGGCCAAUUAAAUGGGCCGAUUACUGACAUUUUAAGAUAAAUCGUCAUUGGCCGAUGUCUGCGCUCACAAGGCAGAUUAACAAAAAAUGUCUGCAGACACAUCUGCAGGCAGCCUUGUCAGUGUGGCUGCUGUAGAACAAAGUUAUUGCUUCUCCUUGUGUCAGUUUCGCAUUUCUACAGGCAGAUGUCAUCAUCACGGUAGCGAGCCUUCAACCGGCUAAACUAUCUCACAGGGCUCGAAAAACUAUUGUACUGUAUACGUCCCCAGCCCCAACUCCUACUGCCGACGAGUAAAACAUUUCUCAGACUUGUCAUUUGGGAUGAUUGUGAGCCGUCCCCGCGAGAAAGGAAUGGUUUUCCUUUGCAUUUUUCCCGAUGAAAACACUAAACAAACUGGUCCGUACCAGGAUAGGUCUGCAGCAUAAAUUGCCAUGGCGACCAGAUUAAAAGAGAGCCACCUUUGUAACCUCAAAACCUCUGGCUUUAGGUUCUCGCUUCAUAGUUCACCCCUCUAUUCUGUAUGUGCAGCACCGUAUACUAUAUGCACAUUUAACCCAUAGACACUAGGGGUGUGACGAGACACCCAGCUCACGAGACGAGACACGAGAUUGGGUUCACGAGAUCGAGACAAGAUUUUAACACUAUUUUACAGAAAACGACAAUGAAGAAAUAAGACUGGAAAAAUAGUCCUUUAUUCAAUCGAAAGUCCCAAAAUGAAAACCGAACACUGAAAGGUUUUGCCACAAACUCAGAUAACUGGCUUCUCUUCUGUAUAACUAACAGUUACACUGUUACUUAUUCCAUGUAUAGUGGAGCGAUAGUCUCUUCACUCAAGAGAACCAAGGUUACAACAUAACUAAGCGUUUUCUGGCAGUAGUUGAGACCAAAAUGUUUUGUACUUGAAUUUGUCAUUGUAGAGUAGACAGAGAGAAAUAAAGCUGAUUUUACUAUUGUUUCACAUUGAUUACGUUCUAAAGCACGAUUAAAUUACCAUCAAAUACUUAUGAUUUUUGUGAAGACAGAUGCUCUUUUCUCCUCCUCUGCAUUUUAUUAAUUGCAGCAAUAAACAAGGAAGUAGGCUACUCUAGUAUCUAGAGGUGGGACGAGGAAGAGAUUUCUUGUCAAGGUAAAAAGUGUCUCGCGAUAUCAGUACACAAGUGCAGAGCAGCAGCAGUCUUGAAAUAAGCAUAGUCGUGAGGACGAGAUCUCGUCACACCUCUAAUACACACACUUAUACAUAUCCACACAUAUAUGCCCAAAUGCCAGACAGAUUUCAUUUUACUAGUCAACCUCCCUUCCUGGACUUAAAAAGUAGAAAAUUAGUAGAAAUAACAAGACCCUGUGUUUGAAUACUUUGAUUAAGUGCUUUGACAAAGAUUUUCUGCUAUCUGCAUCAUUUGCAAUUAACCUUCUGUCAUUAAACAAUGAAAUAUUCCCAGUGUCAAACCUGUGGGUAAAAAGGAUGUGUCACACUGUAUAGAUAAUACUCCGAAAGCACAGCACAUCUGUAUAACAAAGUGGACUCUGUUCGAUGUAGGCAACCUAUCCAAGGGCCCAUAGUAGUAAAGAACAAACAUAAAGCAGGCCGUAAACAAACAGGUGGGCUCUGCCUCAGGCCACACUCCUCUCAGAGAUAAAGUUAACUGCCACGCUGCUUCUCCACUGCCUUUCGGCUCCGUAAACCGACUCUCAAUGCGGCAUGCAAAAAUAAUGAAGGGAGUUAAGUCCUCGAAGCCAGCAGUCCAGCACUCCGUGACAGGUUGAUCACCCGAUUUGUAUUCAUUUAAUAACUCGCUUCCCCCCCCCUCUCACCUGCAAGCGAUCAGCAAACUUCUCUUAGUGCUCGGCGACAAUGGCUUUGAAUAGAAGCAGAGACUAAUGUGAUGGUAAGGAAAGAGGGAACAGCCAGUGAAGGUUAGACCACACGGGGCUCCCAAGGUUGUUCCGCAAAUUUAUACGUCAGCAGACAGACAUAAAGCUUUCACUGGACCCCUUCACAGCCACCAAAGGCCCAAAAUGUUCAGAAAGAUGUUGAUCGAAUAGGGUCUUGCCAUCCUGUCAAGGUAAGGUGUAGUACUUCACUCUAAAGAAUGCAUCUCCAAUUCUCAAUUCAGUCCUUUGCACAAUUUGAAAUAAGUAAAAUUGAAGUCAUGAUUGUCUUUAUACAAUUGAUUAUUUGCUUUAUUCUCUCAAGAUACAUUAAUCAACACUGUACAUUUCUGCACACAAAUGGAGGAGGAGCAUUAAUACAUACAUAUGAGUAAAAUGGCUUUGGUCUAAUAUUAUAAAAACCUUAAGUGACGAGGGCCAAAAGGUCAGGCCGGAAGCUGCUUUUCUACCCAAUACACACGUGUCCUUUUUUCUUGACCCUCUCUUUGCAGAACACCCAGCCAUACUCCCCUUUUUAGCUUCCGGAAGCAAAAUGCAGAGGAUGGGUCAACAGAAAUUGAGCUGCAUUCUUGCUUCUGUAAAGAUUCAUCCCAGGACCUAACAGAGAGCUCCCAUUGCAGGGCUGCGUGCCAGGCUCUUA